CACGUGAGUAACCUGCCCCGAUGACCGGGACAACCCGAGGAAACUCGGGCUAAUACCGGAUGUGGUGACUUGGCCUAAGCCUUGUCACUAAAGGAAGCUUCGGCCUCCGCAUUGGGAUGGGCUCGCGGCCCAUUAGCUUGUUGGUGGGGUAACGGCCUACCAAGGCAACGAUGGGUAGCUGGUCUGAGAGGACGAUCAGCCACACUGGGACUGAGACACGGCCCAGACUCCUACGGGAGGCAGCAGUGGGGAAUAUUGCACAAUGGGCGAAAGCCUGAUGCAGCCAUGCCGCGUGUGUGA
rnacentral:rRNA from 1 species